UACGGGGGGGGUAAGCGUUGUUCGGAAUUACUGGGCGUAAAGGGCUCGUAGGCGGCCAACUAAGUCAGACGUGAAAUCCCUCAGCUUAACUGGGGAACUGCGUCUGAUACUGGAUGGCUUGGAUUCGGGAGAGGAAUGCGGAAUUCCAGGUGGAGCGGUGAAAUGCGUAGAUAUCGGAAGGAACGCCGGUGGCGAAAGCGACGUGCUGGACCUUUUCUGACGCUGAGGCGCGAAAGCCAGGGGAGCAAACGGG
rnacentral:rRNA from 1 species